UACAGAGGUCUCAAGCGUUGCUCGGAAUUACUGGGCGUAAAGGGAGCGUAGGCGGGUUAUCAAGUUGGAGGUGAAAGCCCAGGGCUCAACCUUGGAAUUGCCUUCAAAACUGAUAGCCUAGAGUAUGAUAGAGGUAUGUGGAACUCCGAGUGUAGAGGUGAAAUUCGUAGAUAUUCGGAAGAACACCAGUGGCGAAGGCGACAUACUGGGUCAUGACUGACGCUGAGGCACGAAAGCGUGGGGAUCAAACAGG
rnacentral:rRNA from 1 species